AGGAAUAUUGGUCAAUGGGCGAGAGCCUGAACCAGCCAAGUAGCGUGCAGGAUGACGGCCCUAUGGGUUGUAAACUGCUUUUAUAAGGGAAUAAAGUGAGAGUCGUAACUCUUUUUGCAUGUACCUUAUGAAUAAGGACCGGCUAAUUCCGUGCCAGCAGCCGCGGUAAUACGGAAGGUCCGGGCGUUAUCCGGAUUUAUUGGGUUUAAAGGGAGCGUAGGCCGGAGAUUAAGCGUGUUGUGAAAUGUAGACGCUCAACGUCUGCACUGCAGCGCGAACUGGUUUCCUUGAGUACGCACAAAGUGGGCGGAAUUCGUGGUGUAGCGGUGAAAUGCUUAGAUAUCACGAAGAACUCCGAUUGCGAAGGCAGCUCACUGGAGCGCAACUGACGCUGAAGCUCGAAAGUGCGGGUAUCGAACAGGAUUAGAUACCCUGGUAGUCCGCACGGUAAACGAUGGAUGCCCGCUGUUGGUCUGAACAGGUCAGCGGCCAAGCGAAAGCAUUAAGCAUCCCACCUGGGGAGUACGCCGGCAACGGUGAAACUCAAAGGAAUUGACGGGGGCCCGCACAAGCGGAGGAACAUGUGGUUUAAUUCGAUGAUACGCGAGGAACCUUACCCGGGCUUGAAUUGCAGAGGAAGGAUUUGGAGACAAUGACGCCCUUCGGGGUCUCUGUGAAGGUGCUGCAUGGUUGUCGUCAGCUCGUGCCGUGAGGUGUCGGCUUAAGUGCCAUAACGAGCGCAACCCCUCUCCUUAGUUGCCAUCAGGUCAAGCUGGGCACUCUGGGGACACUGCCACCGUAAGGUGUGAGGAAGGUGGGGAUGACGUCAAAUCAGCACGGCCCUUACGUCCGGGGCUACACACGUGUUACAAUGGCAGGUACAGAGAGACGGUCCCUUGCAAAAUGGAUCAAAUCCUUAAAGCCUGUCUCAGUUCGGACUGGGGUCUGCAACCCGACCCCACGAAGCUGGAUUCGCUAGUAAUCGCGCAUCAGCCAUGGCGCGGUGAAUACGUUCCCG
rnacentral:rRNA from 1 species